rnacentral:misc_RNA from 1 species
AACUUUUGGCAAUGGAUCUCUUGGCUCUCGCAUCGAUGAAGAACGCAGCGAAAUGCGAUACGAAAUGUGAAUUGCAGAAUUCAGUGAAUCAUCGAAUCUUUGAACGCACCUUGCGCCCCUUGGAAUUCCGAGGGGCACACCCGUUUGAGUGUCGUGAACAUCCUUCAACCUUUCUUGGUUUCUUAACCGGGGAAGGCUUGGACUUUGGGGGUCUUUCAUUGCUGGCCUCUUUGAAGCCAGCUCCUCCUAAAUGGAUUAGUGUGGUCUGCUUUGCCGAUCCUUGACGUGAUAAGAUGUUUCUACGUCUUGGGUUUCGCACUGUCGCUUUAGACCCCGCUUCUAACCGUCUUGCAUUCAAGACAGAGUUUUAAACCUUGACCUCAAAUCGGGUGAGACUACCCGCUGAACUUAAGCAUAUCAAUAAGCGGAGGCU